rnacentral:rRNA from 1 species
GAUGAACGCUGGCGGCGUGCUUAACACAUGCAAGUCGAACGGAAAGGCCCAAGCUUGCUUGGGUACUCGAGUGGCGAACGGGUGAGUAACACGUGGGUGAUCUGCCCUGCACUUCGGGAUAAGCCUGGGAAGCUGGGUCUAAUACCGGAUAGGACGAUGGUUUGGAUGCCAUUGUGGAAAGUUUUUUCGGUGUGGGAUGAGCUCGCGGCCUAUCAGCUUGUUGGUGGGGUAAUGGCCUACCAAGGCGUCGACGGGUAGCCGGCCUGAGAGGGUGUACGGCCACAUUGGGACUGAGAUACGGCCCAGACUCCUACGGGAGGCAGCAGUGGGGAAUAUUGCACAAUGGGCGCAAGCCUGACGCAGCGACGCCGCGUGGGGGAUGACGGCCUUCGGGUUGUAAACUCCUUUCGCUAGGGACGAAGCGUUUUUGUGACGGUACCUGGAGAAGAAGCACCGGCUAACUACGUG